rnacentral:rRNA from 1 species
UACGGAGGGGGCCAGCGUUGUUCGGAAUCAUUGGGCGUAAAGGGCGCGUAGGCGGCCGACCAAGUCGGAGGUGAAAUCCCUCGGCUCAACUGAGGAACUGCCUCCGAUACUGUUCGGCUUGAGUCCCGGAGAGGGUAGUGGAAUUCCGAGUGUAGCGGUGAAAUGCGUAGAUAUCUGGAGGAAUACCGGUGGCGAAGGCGGCAUCCUGGACCGGCAUUGACGCUGAUGAGCGAAAGCUAGGGGAGCAAACGGG